UACGUAGGGUGCAAGCGUUGUCCGGAAUUAUUGGGCGUAAAGAGCUCGUAGGCGGUUUGUCGCGUCGAAUGUGAAAACCCGGGGCUCAACCCCGGGCCUGCAUUCGAUACGGGCAGACUAGAGUUCGGUAGGGGAGUCUGGAAUUCCUGGUGUAGCGGUGAAAUGCGCAGAUAUCAGGAGGAACACCGGUGGCGAAGGCGGCAUCCUGGGUCUCUACUGACGCUGAUGCACGAAAGCCAGGGUAGCGAACGGG
rnacentral:rRNA from 1 species